AACACACACUGUGCGUGUGUGUGGUCAAUCUCACAAGGCAGAGGGAAAGGGGUAAACCCUAAUUCUCAAGAAAUCUCCAAAUUGAAAAGGGAAUUGAAGGUUUUUAGGAUGCAUGUAUCAAGAUUAUCGAUCUCCUAAGUGUUCUUCACUAUCAAGAACGUGUCAAGGAGAGGUCAAGCAUAGGAGGAUAACGGGUCAAGAUAAGGCAAGGUGACAAAUACACUUAAUGGAGUACUCGAGGUAAGUGAAUUUCGAUUCACUUUUUAGUAGGUUUAAUAGAUUUUAAUACUUAUGUUUACGAAACAUCAUGAAAGAACAUGUAAUAAUCAGAAGUACAAAGCCAAUAAUGCCUCAUUAUUGAGGAAGGUUGUAUUAAGCCGAAAGUAAAUUGGUGGGUUUAAACGGGUCGACUUUUAUGUGCAUAUGUUGCGUAAUGUAAUGAAAUUCGUUAUGGUUAAGACCUUGGGUAGGAAUUUUUAGUCAUUAUGUAAGGGGAACACUUCCCGGACCAUUAGGAACAAGUUUUAUAUGAUUCGGUUGUCGGUUAGUUAAUGAACGGAUUGUUUCAUGUUAGUGUAGGAAAUUUUAUAAGUAUAUGUGUAUAGGAACCCAAAGGGCACGUGGGUUGAAUCAUAGAUUGUUUAUACUAUGUAAAGUUGUGAAUGUGACAUUCCGGCAUAAACCUACAUGUAAAAGAAGCUUGUGUAUAUAUUCGUGAUUAAUUGAUUGUGCGUAGGAAGGAACAUUGGCAUGUAUGAAGGUACGCAUGUAUAUGUAAGUGUGUAUAUAUAUAUAUAUAUGUAUGUAUAUAUGAUAAUAAGUACGUAGGUGUGAAUGUAUGUGUGAAUGAAUGUUCAAUGCUUAAGACAUAUGCAUGAACGUUAUCAAAGUGUUCGAGUAUUUAUGGUUACUAAUGAUGUGCGUUGAGUUGGAAUGUAAUGUAGGUAUGGGAUCGUUGGCUUCAUGAAGAAAUGGGCUGGAUUUGGAUAAGAGUAUUUAAGAAAGCGCUUGGACAAUUCCACGACUACUUUAUAGAAUGCUCUACGAAAUUCUAUUAUAUAGUUUAAUGUUGUAUGGUAUGUUAAUGACUAAUGGUUUGGUUGUACGUGGUGUCCACAGGUAUCGCUUGGGUUUUCUCUACAUUUAUUGAAGUGAAGCGGACUUAGUUCGAGUUGAGAGCAAGGAUUGUACGGGGUAGAAUGGUCACAUAGUGUAACUCAUAUAGAUUUUGAAGUAUUUGAACCUUCAUGUGUUUGAUAUGUCUAUUAAAGAACGAAAUUUUUGGGCUCUUGUUUUCCGUUGCGUCGUAUUUUAAGUUAUUAUACGUUAGUCUUACAGGGAAUUGUUCUUAUUACGAACGGGUCAUGCCCGAAUUUUGUUAAAUAAUAGUAUGAUAAUAUUACAUUUUGGAAUGUGUAAUUUGGGCGUUACAAGUUGGUAUCAGAGCCCUGGUUUGAGGGAAAUCAAGUAUGAGGAGGCAAAUACUUGAACUCAAACCUGUGUGCUCUUGUGACGAGAAACCCGUACAAUCCAAGACUCGAUCAAGAUCUAAAGGUAGAAGCAAAUGUAAGUAUGAAUUUAAGUAUGUUUAUUAAGAAACUAACAUUAUGUUGUGUGUAAGAUAAGCAUAGUUGUUUGGAUGAGGAUGAUCCACGACUGUGGUCUCGGACUGACACCAAGGCAUGUAAUAAGACCAUUGCCCAGGUACGUAAAUUUUGCAUAAGGGUGCAUGUAAUGCUAAAAGUUAUCGAGUGAAGGAAAAUUUUAAUGAAAUAUAAUAAUAUAAUGGAAACGAAGUUAUGAAAAUGUUACACGUGCCGAAACCUAAUUCUUCGGACAUAAGGUGACGAUUACACGAAGACACGAAACUAGUAUGUGGAUUGUGUCCCUGGCCAGUACACAAGAAACAUAAGACGUUCGUGAGACCGUAAUGAUUGUUACAGGUAUGUCCGAUAGGAUUUGGUAGCGGCUGGGUGUGUGGGUGAAAUGGGUAGUAAGACUCUCGGGAGGUUGAGAGUACUAUGUAAGGGUGAAAAGUAUAAGUGAUAAGAAUGAAAUAUUGAGUCCAUAAGAAAGUAUGGAUUGACAAUGUAUGAAUGCAAUGUUUGAAUCCGCGAGACGGAUUCAAGGAUGAAAGGUAUGAAUGCAAUGUUUGAAUCCGCGAGACGGAUUCAAGGAUGAAAGAUAUGAAUGCAAUGCUUGAGUCCGCGAGACGGAUUCAAGGAUGAAAGAUGUGAAUGCAAUGCUUGAAUCCGCGAAACGGAUUCAAAGAAUGAAAGAUACGAAUGAUGCAAAUCCCUUGCGGAUUUGAUUAUGCUAAAGAAGGUUAUGAUAAGCUAUGCAAAUCGACCGGUUCAAGUUGAACAAGUCGAGUAAGGAUAGGGUACCAUCCGUUUAGAACGGGUGGUCGUGAAUGCAAUAAUAAAUGUAUGAAGUUCAACCCGUUAUACGGACAGAACGAAAUAUUUAUGUUGAACACAAUUAACUCGAUUUUACCGAGGCGUAAGUGGUAUGCUUGAAUCUCAUUAUGAGAAUAUAUGCCAUUACCCAUUUAAUUAGAUACUCGAAUGCGUAAAAGAAAUGAAAGUAUAUAAGCGAAUGGAACUAAAAUGUUGGUGUUGUAAGCGAAAUAAGUAUUAUGACUAACCUUUAAAACGGGAAGGGUAAAAAUUUGCAAGAAAACACUGGAACAGUGAAGCUAUGAGGUCGUAAGCAUGUUUGAAUUGAAAAAGAGUACAAACGUGUACUUCGAUACGCAUGUAUAUAAUAAGAAAUAAGUGGCAGUUGACCUUGAAAAGUCAAACUGCAGAAGCUGAGAAAUAAUUUGGUUUCAAACCAAGGGAGUGCUAGAGAAGAAAGGAAAUGUGUAGUGUAGUACACCAAAUGAGUUAAAGAAUUACGAAAUAAUGAUUAUGUAUUUACCCGUCACGAACGGGUCAAACAAUGAGAAUGAUAUAUAUAUAUAUAUAUAUUAAGAAAUGGUCAUGUAUUGACCCGUUAUGAAUAAGCUUAACACACUAGUGCUUUAAAAAGAAUCUUGGAAGUAGUAAUAUGUAAACAAGGAGAAGUAAUAAACAUCAUGUUUAAAUGAACUUGAAUGAAAUGUGAUAAUCCCCAAUUUUAUAAUGAGUGAUAGUGUGAUAAACCUAUCUAGGUCAGUGAAAGAAUGUUCAUAAGCGAAAGCUCGUCACACGGAUAAACGAGGUCGAUACGAAACAUGGUAUGGAUGGGGACGAAGAGGACCGACUCGUUGCUACAUGUUCAAGUACUGCACCAAGGUAGUAAGGUUAGCAAAUUAUUUAAUAUAUGAAGGUACGAUGCUCGAAUCCCUCAAACCUACGCUCUCGUGAAAGUGUGUUCGUUUCUAAGCGCCACGCAAGUAAGUGAUUUAAGGAUUUCGAGCUAUGCUUUUAGAUGAAAACGGAAAUGGGUUAUGGAUAAAUUACUAUUAUAACCUGGGUUGGGACGUUAUGGGAUGUUAGGGAAGGUUUCGGGACUGCCCGAGACCAUUUCUGGUUGGAAAAAAAAAGAGACCCGGGAACAAAAAAUUUUUGGUCAAACAGCGUCUGCACACCAGAGAGCCCGUCGGCGACGGCCUUUAUGCCGUCGGCGACGGCACCCCUCCACCUGACACGCUAACUGCCUGUCUACGGGCAAUGUUUAGCGACGGGACCUUCCCGAGCCCGUCGGCGACGCACCAUGUGCCGUCGGCGACGGGUCCCCCUUAUCUGCUUAUGCUGAAAUUGUUUGUUUAUUAGGCUAAGGUCCUUAAUUCAGUUCUAGCAUUCAUUAAACACUAAGAACACCCCAGAUUGAUUAUGAAGCUAGGAAAUUCAAGACAACUAUCGUGUUUUAAUGAUGAAUGUGUGGGAAGUUAUGUAUGCGAACGAAUGAAAUAAGUAACACAUCUAGAAUGUUUGUAAAGAAAGAUUGGGUAAGUUUAUAAAAAUUUUACGCUAUCAUUGAGAAAGUACCUCCAUAUGAAUAAGUACGAUAUGUUAAAUGUGUACGAAUGAACGAGAUUGAAUGCGGAAAUGAAUAAAAUAAUGAUGACUAGGGAUUGGUUUUCGCAAAGAAGUUUGAAAUCUUGAUAAGUAUGAAUAAUAUGUCAGGAUGCUAGUUUCAAAUUAUGGACUAUGGGAUCUGUGAUUAGGCAAUUUCUCACAACAUGCUUAUGUAAGUCGUCCAAUGUCACUUGAAUGAAUGAACGAACGAAGAAUAAAACUAGAUGGGUUAUAGAAGAAAUGAAAGAGGUUUCGGGGACGAAACCUUCUUUAAGGGGGAUAGAUUUGUAACACCCCAAAACUCGAAUUAUUAAAUUCGUUAGUAGGUUACCUUGGGUAAUUAGAUGAAGUACAACAACUAAGUUAUUAAACUUAGUUAAAUGUCUAAUAAAUAAGUAAAGGAAUGAACUUUGUGGCAACUAUGAUGAUGUGUUAGAGUUGAGGGACCUAGAUUGCCAUAAUGUAAACUAAAAUUUAAUAAAAAAAAAAGAAAGAAAAAUAAAACCACAACACACACUGUGCGUGUGUGUGGUCGAUCGCACAAGGCAGAGGGAAAGGGGUAAACCCUAAUUCUCAAGAAAUCUCCAAAUUGAAAAGGGAAUUGAAGGUUUUUAGGAUGCAUGUAUCAAGAUUAUCGAUCUCCUAAGUGUUCUUCACUAUCAAAUAAUAGGAACGUGUCAAGGAGAGGUCAAGCAUAGGAGGAUAACGGGUCAAGAUAAGGCAAGGUGACAAAUACACUUAAUGGAGUACUCGAGGUAAGUGAAUUUCGAUUCACUUUUUAGUAGGUUUAAUAGAUUUUAAUACUUAUGUUUACGAAACAUCAUGAAAGAACAUGUAAUAAUCAGAAGUACAAAGCCAAUAAUGCCUCAUUAUUGAGGAAGGUUGUAUUAAGCCGAAAGUAAAUUGGUGGGUUUAAACGGGUCGACUUUUAUGUGCAUAUGUUGCGUAAUGUAAUGAAAUUCGUUAUGGUUAAGACCUUGGGUAGGAAUUUUUAGUCAUUAUGUAAGGGGAACACUUCCCGGACCAUUAGGAACAAGUUUUAUAUGAUUCGGUUGUCGGUUAGUUAAUGAACGGAUUGUUUCAUGUUAGUGUAGGAAAUUUUAUAAGUAUAUGUGUAUAGGAACCCAAAGGGCACGUGGGUUGAAUCAUAGAUUGUUUAUACUAUGUAAAGUUGUGAAUGUGACAUUCCGGCAUAAACCUACAUGUAAAAGAAGCUUGUGUAUAUAUUCGUGAUUAAUUGAUUGUGCGUAGGAAGGAACAUUGGCAUGUAUGAAGGUACGCAUGUAUAUGUAAGUGUGUAUAUAUAUAUAUGUAUGUAUAUAUGAUAAUAAGUACGUAGGUGUGAAUGUAUGUGUGAAUGAAUGUUCAAUGCUUAAGACAUAUGCAUGAACGUUAUCAAAGUGUUCGAGUAUUUAUGGUUACUAAUGAUGUGCGUUGAGUUGGAAUGUAAUGUAGGUAUGGGAUCGUUGGCUUCAUGAAGAAAUGGGCUGGAUUUGGAUAAGAGUAUUUAAGAAAGCGCUUGGACAAUUCCACGACUACUUUAUAGAAUGCUCUACGAAAUUCUAUUAUAUAGUUUAAUGUUGUAUGGUAUGUUAAUGACUAAUGGUUUGGUUGUACGUGGUGUCCACAGGUAUCGCUUGGGUUUUCUCUACAUUUAUUGAAGUGAAGCGGACUUAGUUCGAGUUGAGAGCAAGGAUUGUACGGGGUAGAAUGGUCACAUAGUGUAACUCAUAUAGAUUUUGAAGUAUUUGAACCUUCAUGUGUUUGAUAUGUCUAUUAAAGAACGAAAUUUUUGGGCUCUUGUUUUCCGUUGCGUCGUAUUUUAAGUUAUUAUACGUUAGUCUUACAGGGAAUUGUUCUUAUUACGAACGGGUCAUGCCCGAAUUUUGUUAAAUAAUAGUAUGAUAAUAUUACAUUUU